rnacentral:rRNA from 1 species
UUCCGUAGGUGAACCUGCGGAAGGAUCAUUAAUGAAUCAUAAGUCGGUCUUCUGUGCUGGUGGUCAUCCACAUGUGCACGCUGGUCGCAAAUCCACACACCUGUGCACCCUUGACUUUGGGAUCCGCUCAUCUGAUGAGCAGCUGGUUGGCCUUGUUGCCGGCCUGGGUCUCAGAGUAAUUUUUACACACUCUGAAUGUAAUGGAAUGUCUUCUGUGCUUAAUGCGCAUAUAAACAACUUUCAACAACGGAUCUCUUGGCUCUCGCACCGAUGAAGAACGCAGCGAAAUGCGAUAAGUAAUGUGAAUUGCAGAAUUCAGUGAAUCAUCGAAUCUUUGAACGCACCUUGCACCCUUUGGUAUUCCGAAGGGUACACCCGUUUGAGUGUCAUUGUAAUCUCACUCCCAACACUUGUUGUUGCUGGAUGUGGACUUGGACUCUGCCGUGUCACAACGGCUGGUCUGAAAUGCAUGAGUGCACCCUGCUGUUGCAGCGUCUCAGUGUGAUAAGCAUCUUCACUGAACAAGCUCCCUUGUGGACACGUCUGCGUUGUGGGCUCUGUGCUUCCAACCGUCCUGUAUUGGACAAUACC